AUAACGUUACGGGAAACCGGAGCUAAUACCGGAUAAUAUAUUGAACCGCAUGGUUCAAUAGUGAAAGACGGUUUUGCUGUCACUUAUAGAUGGAUCCGCGCCGCAUUAGCUAGUUGGUAAGGUAACGGCUUACCAAGGCAACGAUGCGUAGCCGACCUGAGAGGGUGAUCGGCCACACUGGAACUGAGACACGGUCCAGACUCCUACGGGAGGCAGCAGCC
rnacentral:rRNA from 1 species